AAUAGCAACGCCUUACCUUAAGCAAAAAAGUCCACCUUUUUCCGUUUCGUUUAUCUCCACGAAAUCGCUGGUACGUGAAGAUCGAUUUCCUUUACAAUCGAAGCUAAUUGAUAAGGAGGCCGAAUUCGUAGAUCUGAAUCCUCCGAUCGCGUGAAGAAUAUGGCCAAUGAUGUCGAAGCUAAAGGAUUCAACCCAGGCUUGAUCGUCUUACUUCUUAUUGGUGGGCUCGUGUUGGCGUUUCUUAUUGGAAACUAUGUCCUUUAUGUGUAUGCCCAGAAAACCCUUCCUCCAAAGAAAAAGAAGCCACUCUCCAGGAAGAAGAUGAAGAGGGAAAGGCUGAAGCAAGGUGUGUCGGCACCCGGAGAGUAGAUGUUUAGACAAAGUGGGGGGACAUUCCCCUUGUUCAUGUUGAAGAGAGAUUAUGUCUGAGUUAUUCAGCAGCACUUUAGUCAGAUGGUUGUACUUUUUAAGGUUAAUACUUUCCUGUCAACAUUGUCUGAAUUUCAUCAAAAGAUGCUGCCGUUAAUUGUGCUAGCUGACUGAGAAAUUUUCCUAGAAGUUACUGUUCUUCCUUUUUCCUUCUAGCAGAGCUAUUGGUUUUCUGUUUUUA